rnacentral:rRNA from 1 species
AACGAACGCUGGCGGCAGGCUUAACACAUGCAAGUCGAGCGCGGUACUUGUACCGAGCGGCGGACGGGUGAGUAAUGCUUGCAGAUGUACCCCAUGGUAAGGGAUAACGUUUGGAAACGAACGCUAAUACCUUAUAAGCACUAAGGUGGAAAGAUUUAUCGCCAUGGGAUCAUUUCAAGUCGGAUUAGCUCGUUGUAGGGGUAACGGCUCUACAAGGCUAUGAUCCGUAGCCGGCCUGAGAGGGUGAUCGGCCACACCGGGACUGAGACACGGCCCGGACUCCUACGGGAGGCAGCAGUGGGGAAUAUUGGACAAUGGGCGAAAGCCUGAUCCAGCCAUGCCGCGUGCGUGAAGAAGGCCUUAGGGUUGUAAAGCGCUUUUGUCAGGGAAGAUAAUGACUGUACCUGAAGAAUAAGCCCCGGCUAACUCCG